ACACCUCAACUCUCAUGGUUUGCCAUGAUGAGCUUGGACUCUGGGGGUUUUGCUGGCCUGCGGUCAGCUCCCCUCAAAUGGAUCAGCCUCCCAGUGUUUGGUGGCAUCACGGGUGUGAUAACUAUCUACGCUCGCGAUUGUCUGCCAGGUAACCUUUGGCAACAAAGGUUUGCUGGAGCUCACAAAUGUCUCUCCUCAGUGGGGACAGCUUUUUGAAC
rnacentral:misc_RNA from 1 species